UCUAGUGGUCGCAUCUGCCAGUGAGUAGGCUAGGGAUGUCAGAUCUGAUAACCCUAGCCUCCCCACUGUUCAAUGCCCCUCUAU
rnacentral:pre_miRNA from 1 species